AACGUAGGUCCCGAGCGUUAUCCGGAUUUACUGGGCGUAAAGCGCGUUCAGGCGGUCGACUAAGUCGGGCAUGAAAUCUCUCGGCUCAACCGGGAGAGGUUGUCCGAUACUGGUCGACUUGAGGGCAGUAGAGGGUGGUGGAAUUCCGGGUGUAGUGGUGAAAUGCGUAGAGAUCCGGAGGAACACCAGUGGCGAAGGCGGCCACCUGGACUGCCCCUGACGCUGACACGCGAAAGCUAGGGGAGCGAACGGG
rnacentral:rRNA from 1 species